CUUGUCGCUAAAUAAUUUUAUAGCAAUUUCCAAUAAAGUGAAGGCCUCCCAUGCAUUCCAAUUUGGUAUCAAAUACUUUUCUUCUGUAACAAGUUGUAGACCAUCAAGCCUAAGCUGUGGGAGGAAAUGGACAUGUAAAAUUCCAUCCCUCCAUUAAAAGUUCAUCUGGUGUUAAUGUUGAAUCUCCGGUAAAUCGUAUACAAUCACAAGCAUUAUUUUCAACAGAUUAACAGCACUCUUCUUGUGGAAUGAUAGCAGUUUAAGUGAUUGGUGAUGGAGAUCUGACAAGGUCAUCUCGCUGUACAGUUUUUCCAAAGUACAUUUCAAUAAAGAGUACCGUAUGAUGUGUAAAGCUUAACUGUAUUGUUUUCUCUUGUAAAAAAACGAAAUUUUCAAUAUGCAUCCAGAUACAGCGUCAUGAUAGAUAUUUGUUAGCAGAUUCCUAAGACACGGUUUGUACUGUUUGUAUUGGUUUAUAUUAUU
rnacentral:lncRNA from 1 species